rnacentral:rRNA from 1 species
UACGUAGGGGGCUAGCGUUGUCCGGAAUCAUUGGGCGUAAAGCGUGCGCAGGCGGCUUUGCAAGACAGAUGCGAAAUCCCCGGGCUUAACCUGGGAACUGCAUUUGUGACUGCAUGGCUGGAGUGCGGCAGAGGGGGAUGGAAUUCCGCGUGUAGCAGUGAAAUGCGUAGAUAUGCGGAGGAACACCGAUGGCGAAGGCAAUCCCCUGGGCCUGCACUGACGCUCAUGCACGAAAGCGUGGGGAGCAAACAGG